rnacentral:lncRNA from 1 species
AGUCAGAAAAUUUUGAAAGUUUGGAUGUUAUUUUUAACUAUUCCUACUUGAUAUAAGAAGUCAAUCACAAUAAAAAAGCAAACAUUGUAAUUCUUCUCCCUAAUUUUACCAGCUGCUCAAGUACCUAAUUCACGCUGGAUGCUCAGCAAACAUUGCAGAUCUCAUGGAUCAUCACCCAUAGCCCUUGAUUGAUCUAUUACAUCAGGGAGAAAAGAACAGUGGAGCAGAUCUUGACAGCUGGGGCAAAGCUGUGGAACUUAUGGAUUACAGAGAUGUGCCCUCUACAAGACUGCAGUAAUCUAUUAAUAGAGAAAAUAUUGUACCAUUCUGGAAGAAGAGUACUUUAAAAAUGAUUCAGGGGAGGGACUCAAGAUGGCGCUGUGAGAACAACUCAGGAUUGAAGCUCUCGCUGGAUGCGUGGAGAGGGUUUGCCCAGUGUAAUUAAAAGAUACCUAAAAGUCAACAAGAGAAACAGAAGAGUCAGAAUCAAAGAGGCAGAUGUAACUACAGAAGCAAAAUUGGAGUGCUGA